UCACGCGUAAAUUGCGCAAAUCGCAUGUGUUUUUCUUGUUAUGUUGUUGCCGCCGCGAUCGAAAUCACGAAAAACCGCCAUAAAAUAAAAGCGUGUGCAUUGUUUUUGGUCAACUGCAUUGCAGACCGCGACAUCCACAAAAAUUAACAUCCACUGCUGCACAGAAAAAAAAGACAACUCGAUUGUGUAGAAUGGCAAAUACUGUAAUGAACGCAGGCGACUAUUUAAAGACAACAUGCAAACGCAUCGAGUAAAUCGAGAGACGAGAAGGCCAAAACACGGAGGCGGCUGCGUGUGGGGGCGUGGCUGUGGGCGGAGGAGUGUGCGGGUGAUAAUUCAGCGAAGCGAAGAGAGAAAGAGCACCGAUCGUUUUGUUCGCUCGAUUUCCAAGGAAGUGGAACACUUAUGAAUUUGGACUAACAUCUAAUUAAACGGCAGUUUCCAUUUGCGGGCGAUCCCUGUAGAGGGUUUCAUUUACAACAUAAAUUGAAAACUAUUGUCAAAACCCACCCGAUGCAGCGAGCCAAGGCGGGCAUUAUCACAUGCGAUAAAUAUUAUAUGGAAAUGUAAUGACCGUCCGACCCCCCUGGAUCCAAAAUGGCUCGGCCUUCGACGCGCAAUUAAUGUCACCACAUCCUUUGGGCCUUAUUAAUGUCCUUGGCCCGCGGUCUAUUGCUCUACAUUGAGAAAAAUACCUAUAAUCCCUUGACGGUUUCGGAAUUUAAAGGAUUUUCAAAGAAAAA